CUGAUGCGUUGUUGGGUAGGGGAGCGUUCUGUAAGCCUGUGAAGGUGGCCUGUGAGGGUUGCUGGAGGUAUCAGAAGUGCGAAUGCUGACAUAAGUAACGAUAAAGCGGGUGAAAAGCCCGCUCGCCGGAAGACCAAGGGUUCCUGUCCAACGUUAAUCGGGGCAGGGUGAGUCGACCCCUAAGGCGAGGCCGAAAGGCGUAGUCGAUGGGAAACGGGUUAAUAUUCCCGUACUUGGUGUUACUGCGAAGGGGGGACGGAGAAGGCUAUGUUGGCCGGGCGACGGUUGUCCCGGUUUAAGCGUGUAGGUGUGUGUUCCAGGUAAAUCCGGUUCACUUUAACACUGAGGCGUGAUGACGAGGCACUACGGUGCUGAAGCAACAAAUGCCCUGCUUCCAGGAAAAGCCUCUAAGCAUCAGGUAACAUCAAAUCGUACCCCAAACCGACACAGGUGGUCAGGUAGAGAAUACCAAGGCGCUUGAGAGAACUCGGGUGAAGGAACUAGGCAAAAUGGUGCCGUAACU
rnacentral:rRNA from 1 species